GUUAAGUGAUACUGGUAACAGACCGACUGGCUUUCUGGUCUUCGGCACGGGAGGCAGAAAGUGGGGGAAAGGCAGGCCCCCAUUCGGCUGAGAUGAUAGGCUCUGGACCCCCACAACCUUGCAUAGGACAAGCAAGUAUAGACAAUGUAUGUCUGGAUAUUCCCAAUACCCAAAGGACUGCUUACUAAAAUUAAGGCUCCUACCAUGUUUCAUAAGUUGGCCUUUCCCUCCAGUAUCAACACUAUAGCAUGAACAUUUUCUGUGAUUUGCAUGGACCUCCUUAUGAAAUAUGGCACAGUCUCAAGAAUAGCCGUCGGAAGAGAGUGCAAGUGCGCACAGCACAUGCUGCCCAAGAGCCUCCCCAGGACGGACACGCAGGGGGCGGAUCCCUGUAAGCCCCACCCCUCUGUGUGACACAAUAUGAGCAUGUAGCGGGCAAGACCAAAACAAGAAAGCAUGCCUGAAUUAAUCUUUACAAAGGAAAAAUAUAAUAAAAUGUCA